GAAUAUGAUGAUAGUUGUUGUCGCCCCAGUCUUACAAGCAUCUCAACAUGCUUGAUGGUGAUCGACACUUCCUAUUACUAUCUGAUUC